rnacentral:tRNA from 2 species
CGGGACAUGGCGCAGCCCGGUUAGCGCGCCGCUCUGGGGGAGCGGAGGUCCCCGGUUCAAAUCCGGGUGUCCCGA